AUGGCUCAGUGGAUAGAGCGUUGGCCUGCGGACUGAAGGGUCCCGGGUUCGAUUCCCGGU
rfam:Myotis davidii contig71876, whole genome shotgun sequence.